AUCAAUUUAAUGUUCAGAAGUAGGAAUACUAUUUAAAAACUGAUUCGUUUUGAAUUCGUAAACUAUUGGUCACUGAUCCUGCAAAACACCAGCAAGAUAAUGGUGCUCGAAGAAACACAAUCAUAUAGCUGGAAACAAUAAACACGAAGAUUGCAGAAUGAUAAAAAGAAAAUGUCUCCAAGAAACCGCAAGAGCUGAAUCAGUAAUGACAACAAAUACAAUCGAAAAGACGACAGACGUUGAUGAAAACGAUAAAUGAUAAACAACCGAACAUUAUUUUCCACAGAUAUCUUUGCAGGUCGACCGAACGAAAGAACAAUAGAGGAUCAAUAUGGAACAACUUCCUUCCAGGCGAGGUUACGGAAAGGGAAAUCGGAGGGUCACAGGAGGGUUGCAAAAAAUGGAUUUUUGUCUUGGUGCCGGAUGGACCAGCCCUUAAUGAAACUGGAGAUGGCGGGACAAGGAAAAGGGACUCGGAGAGAGGGAUCAUCGGCGAUAUUUUUUUCACCCUCGUAAAUAUUCCCCCGAAGCGGGGGCAUAUUAACAAACGAAACGGUGUACGGACCCACCCGUCCUUGAGCCUAGCCGAGUGGAAGCUGCUGAUUGGUAAUCGUUAAUUACUCCGGCAACUUCCUUCCCGAGGAGCUCCUCUAUUCGGACAGUUUGAAAAAUAUCGGCACUUUUGGCCCCCAGUGGACAAAGAGAGGUCCGAGGUAAAAAGGGAGAAGGUGCUACUAGGGAGAGAGGCCCGCGGAACAAGAACGUAUUGAUCGUGUUAGAGUCUUCGGCCCCGAGAGCCUCUAUCCCGAUGCCGAAGGGAGCCAAUGAGAGAUUUCGAGGGUGAAUUUAGAACAAGAAUGGCGACUGGAGGAUCAGCCUGAGUCCGCUUGCCGGCUCGGGAUCCCCCGGCGUUUUUAUCGUGUCCGAAUUAUUUGCAGCGUGCCUCGGCUCCAUAAUGAAUUUUCCACGAUUUUACUUUUUCAUUAAGUUCUCCGCGAAUCCGAAAAUUAUUCCCGGAAUACAUGAGGAAUUUAGUAGCAUUGCUAGAGAGCGACCGAAGACUUUUAUGUAAUCGAAGCAAUUUGAUGCGCAGAAAGAUGUUGGAUGAUCGAUGCCUGAUACACAAUUUGGGUAACAAUGAUCUAGAAGCAGAACAAUUUGUUCAACCGUGACGGUUAAAAAGCUCGCAAUCCGAGCAAACGGUAUUCCACGCGUCUGUCAAAUUAAUUAAGCUGCAAUUCCUCAUUUUAAUCGGACGACCCUUUUUGUUUUCGACAUCGUUUCAUUGAUUCCUAAGAAAGUGAAAGUGGAAGGGAGCCAAUGGGAAUUCCGGAGGGUGACUCAGGCGUAAAAAUGGCGGCCGAGGUUUACAGGGAGACUAUACGCCGACGAGCUAUGUCUCGGUAUACAAAGGUAUCGUUAUAAGUUUUGAACAAGAUUAUUUUCCAGAAAUGAAAUUAACCUGAAAAUUUAUUUCUCAUUUCGUGUACGAAUUUAUAUCGAUCAGAAAUCAUGGAAGACGCAUUCAGAACUGAGAAGAUUAGAAAGACUGAUCAAAAGAAUCAGUAAUAAAAUAUAUCAACAAGUACGAUGUAAGAUAGUACAAAACAGAAUCUAUGUUUUUAAAAUAAACGUAGAAAUUAAGAACUGGCUAAUUCUGUAUGGGUCAUAGAAAACAUCCUUGGAAUAAGGUAGAUGGAAAACAUGUUCAAUAGAAUGAAGCAUUAUGAUGAUCUCGACGUAAAAUAGUAUAGAACAGAGACAAGUAUAUUAUUCAGAAAAUUUUCUUUUGAAUUGGACUAAGAAUUAAAAUAAAAAUUAAAAAUAGUUAAAUCUUCUCCAGUAUCGCAAAAAAGGAAUUUUGAAUAUGGAAACCGGAGAAAAUGUUCAAUAAAAUGAAACGCUAAUAAAAUACGUCAAUCAUCGUAACGUAAAAUAGCAUAAAAUCGACUAAAUAUAUUUAAAUAAGGCUUAAGGGCGGCACCAUUGUUACGAAUCACGGGGAACCAGGGAACAUAUUUAAAACAACGAGAACGGACGAUAUUUUGGAACAGUCUGCAAAUUUUACGCGUUUAUGGUAAUAGUGAAU